GUUAGAUGGCGAAUCAUAGCAACGCUUUUAGUAAUAUAAUUAGUGAAAUUUUACAAGUUAAAAGCUACGAGCAGUAUGCUUUGCUGAAUCACGAACACAAUACGCAACCAACAAUACUUGAUCUCCACGAUCAACAGAUGUCGCCCUGAUGCAGUUCAUAAAGAAGGCGGCUGUGGAGUCGCCACGGACUCUCAAAAACAAACCGGUGUACCGUAGUUGUUACGAAUUAGCGUGGUCGCAAGUUUCUUCUGCCAUCAAAACGUCGAUUUUGCGUAUAGUGUGAACAAGUAUUUACAAAGGGACUCGACUUUCGGUGUGAGGUUGGCCUGUUAACGAUUCUACGACACAAUCCACGAUUUUUCCUGAGAACCGCCAGUUGAGGUUGUUUUUGUUAUGAACACGAGGCUCUGGCUUGUUUCGGCAGUCGAUACGUAUUUCUUUUGGAAAGAAGAUCUCUACACGUAACAGCGUGACAGACCACAGACGAGGUAUAUGAAUAAACCUUUUACGUCGCUGAUGACUUCGCUGAUGACUCCUACUAGGCGACAUCGUCGCCCGGGUGCUUGAAUUCUACAGUUGACAUACUGCUAAAUCGGUGACGCGAAGAUGAGCGGGCGCGCAGGACAGACAAGAGUCCUGGCCAGCUCCUGCGCAAAUUUCGCAGGACUCGUGGCAGGGCCAGCAGACUCCACCUUGAUUCGGGAAGCUCCUCGGAGGGCAUCGACUCACGCAAGUACUAAUUUUUCUAGUGGUGUCGAGGGAGUCGUCGCCGACUUGCGACGAGGACGACGGGGAAUCGAAAGCCGACGACGUAUCACCGGGAAGUCGAUUGGUCAGGAUGGGGG